GGCGGGCUGGCGUAAUGGCAACGCGUUAGUUUCCGGAGCUAAAGAUUCUGGGUUCGAGCCCCAGGCUCGUCG